rnacentral:piRNA from 1 species
AAUAUUUUUCGUCAACAGAGUUCACA